CCCCAUACACGUCCUAAUANNGNNUGGNNNCGGUAUUNGCCGCCGUGGUAAUACGGAGGGUGCAAGCGUUAUCCGGAAUCAUUGGAGUUAAAGGGUCCGUAGGCGGGGCGGUCAGUCAGUGGUGAAAUGCAGGGGCUCAACCCCGGCACCGCCAUUGAUACUGACCGUUCUUGAAUUUCCGUGAAGUGACCGGAAUAUGUGGUGUAGCGGUGAAAUGCUUAGAUAUCACAUACAACACCGAUUGCGAAGGCAGGCCACUAACGGGAGAUUGACGCUGAGGGACGAAAGCGUGGAUAGCGAACAGGAUUAGAUACCCUGGUAGUCCACGCCGUAAACGAUGGUCACUAGCUGUCGGCCUCAAUUGAGGGGUCGGCGGCCCACCGAAAGUGAUAAGUGACCCACCUGGGGAGUACGUUGGCAACAAUGAAACUCAAAGGAAUUGACGGGGGCCCGCACAAGCGGUGGAGCAUGUGGUUUAAUUCGAUGAUACGCGAGGAACCUUACCAGGGCUUAAAUGCAGGGCGACCGGGGUGGAAACACCCCUUUCUUCGGACGGCCUGCAAGGUGCUGCAUGGUUGUCGUCAGCUCGUGCCGUGAGGUGUCAGGUUAAGUCCUAUAACGAGCGCAACCCCUAUUGCUAGUUGCCAUCGAGUAAAGUCGGGGACUCUAGCGAGACUGCCGGUGCAAACCGCGAGGAAGGUGGGGAUGACGUCAAAUCAUCACCGCCCUUACGUCCUGGGCUACACACGUGCUACAAUGGCCCGGACAAUGGGAAGCCACCCCGGCGAGGGGAAGCGGAUCCCCAAACCCCGUCACAAUUUCGAUCCCCAAUCCUGCACCCU
rnacentral:rRNA from 1 species